GCAUGGAUACUGACUUGUAUGAUGAGUUUGGGAAUUAUAUUGAACCAGAACUUGAUUCUGAUGAAGAUGAUGAUGAAUUGGACAGAGAAACUAAGGAUCUUGAUGAGAUGGAUGAGGACGAAGAGGAGGAUGCCGCUGCUGCGUACAAGGACCACGCUGGGAUGGAGGUAGUGCUACACGAGGACAAGAAGUACUACCUGAUGGCUGAGGAGGUGUACGGCCUUGAGAUGAAGAACAUUGUGCAGGAAGAGGAUGCCCAGACACUCAAAGAGUCCAUUAUUAAGCCUGUGAAGACCAAGAAGAUCACGCUGAUGGAGCAGACGCUGCCCAUGACAGUGUAUGAGAUGGAUUUCUUGGCGGAUCUCAUGGACAACUUGGAGCUCAUCUGAAACGUGAAACUUUGUGGGCACCUCAUGACCCACUCAGAAAUUUGAAAGAGAUAUGACCAGGAUCUGUGCUACAUAGACAUCCUCUUCACUGAGCAGGAGAGAGGCGUGGGCAUCAAGAUUACACCUGUGAUAGUGGUCUUGUGGGAAACCAAGAGGAAGUCGUACCUCUUCAACAUCAUGCACGCUCCAGGCACGUGAAUUUCUCUGAUGAGGUCACUGCUGGCCUCCAUAUCUCCGACAGCAUGGUCCUAUUCAUCGAUGCUGCAGAGGGAGUGAUGCUGAACACCGAGCAGCUGAUCAAGCAUGAGGUGCAGGAGAGGUUGUCAGUCACUGUGUACAUCAACAAGAUUGACCGGCUCAUCCUGGAGUUGAAGCUGUCACCCACAGAUGCCUACUACAAGCUGUGACACAUUGUGGAUGAGGUCAACGGACUAAUAAGCAUGUACUCCAGUGAUGAGAACCUCACGCUCUGUCUGCUACUGGGCGAGGUAUGCUUCUCCAGCUCCCAGUACAGUAUCAGCUUCACAGUGGGCUCCUUUGCCAAGAUCUACACAGACACCUUUGGUGACGUUAAUUACCAGGAAUUUGCUAAAAGACUCUGGGGUGACAUCUACUUCAACCCUAAGAUGUGGAAGUUCAUGAAGAAGACCCUGACCAGCAGCUCCCAGGGGAGCUUUGUGGAGUUUGUGCUUGAGCCACUCUACAAGAUCCUGGCACAGGUGGUGGGCAACAUGGAUACCAGUCUCCUGAGGACCCUAGACGAGAUUGGUAUUCACCUGACCAAGGAGGAGCUGAAGCUGAACAUCCAGCCUCUGCUCUGUCUGGUCUGCAAGAAGUUCUUUGGGGAGUUCACAGGCUUUGUGAACACUUGUGUGCAGCACAUCCCGUCCCCAAAGGUGGGUGCCAAGCCCAAGAUCAAGCAUACCCAUACUGGCGGCUUGGACUCUGACGGUGGCGAAGCCAUGCGUGACUGCGACCCUGAUGGCCCACUGAUGUGCCAUACCACCAAGAUGUACAACACAGACGACGGGGUCCAGUUCCAUGCCUUUGGUUUUGUGCUGAGUGGCACCAUCCAUGCUGGGCAGCCUGUGAAGGUUCUCAGGGAGAACUAUACCCUGGAGGAUGAGGAAGAUUCUCAGAUCUGCACCGUGGGCCACCUGUGGAUCUUGGUGGCCAGGUACCACAUCAAGGUGAACCGAGUUCCUGCUGGCAACUGAGUCCUGAUUGAAGGGGUCAACAAGCCAAUUGUGAAGACUGUGACUAUUACAGAGCCUAUUACAGAGCCCUGAGGCAAUGAAGAGGCUCAGAUCUUCUGGCCCUGGAAGUUCAACACCAUAUCUGUGAUCAAGAUCGCUGUGGAGCCAGUCAAACCCUCAGAGCUGCCCAAGAUGCUUGACAGUCUGCGCAAGGUGAACAAGAGCCACCCAUCUCUCACCACCAAGGUGGAGGCGUUGGGUGAGCAUGUGAUCCUGGGCACUGGCAAGCUCUACCUGGGCUGUGUGAUGCAUGACCUGUGGAAGAUGUACUCGGAGAUUGACAUUAAGGUGGCAGACCCGGUGGUCACAUUCUGUGAGACAGUGGUGGAAACAUCUUCCCCCAAAUGCUUCACUGAAACACACAAUAAGAACAAGAUCACCAUGAUCGCCGAGCCUCUGGAGAAGAGGCUGGCUGAGGACAUGGAGAAUGAGGUGGUGCAGAUCACGUGGAACAGGAAGAAGCUGGGCGAGUUCUUCCAGACCAAAUAUGAUUGGGAUCUGUUGGCUGCCCACUCCAUCUGGGUCUUUGGUCCUGAUGCCACUGGGCCCAACAUCCUAGUGGACAACACCCUGCCCUUGGAGGUGGACAAGGCCCUCCUUGGCUCUGUGAAGGACGGCAUUGUGCAGGGCUUCCAAUGGGGGACCAGAGAGGGGCCACUCUGCAACGAGCUGAUUCGCAAUGUGAAGUUUAAGAUCUUGGAUGCUGUGGUGGCCCAGGAGCCCCUGCACUGGGGCAGGGGCCAGAUCAUCCCCACAGCACGGAGUGCUCUGCCUUCCUCAUAGCCACACCCCAUCUGAUGGAGCCCUACUACUUCGUGGAGGUACAGGCACCUUAGGAUUGUAUUUCCGCUGUGUAUACCGUCCUGGCCCGAUGCAGGGGGCACGUGACUCAGGAUGCACCCAUUCGAGGCUCCCCUCUCUACAUCAUCAAAACUUUCAUCCCGGCCAUCGACUCCUUUGGUUUUGAGACUGACCGAAACACACACACACACACACACACACACACACACACACACAGCCAAGCCUUCUCCCUGUUGGUCUUCCACCAAUGGCAGAUCGUGCUCAACGACCCCCUGGACAAAAGCAUCAUCAUCUGGCCCUUGGAGCUGCAGCCAGCCCCACACCUGGCCCAUGAGUUCAUGAUCAAGACCCAGCGCAGGAAGGGCCUGAGUGAGGACCUGAGCAUGAGCAAGUUCUUCGACCACUCCAUACUGCUGGAGCUGGCCAAGCAGGAUGUGGUACUCAACUACCCAAUGUGAGCCUUGGGCCAGCAGAGGGAUCUGUAUCCGAUGAGACCCAGAGAGCUUUGUGGUGCUGGAUCUCUCAUGUGAUUGUCGU